UUCUCAUUUCUAGAAUUUAAUUAUAAAGCAGUAUUUCACAGAUGCCUUCUUAAUGAUGUAAUAGUUCUGGAUGCAAGUGUUAAUUAAAUGUCCAGAGGGGAAGAGAGGUGUUACACUGAGUAAAUUAGACAAAAAUCUGUCUCUUGCUUUGUAGCUGAGCAAAGGAUUGAAAUGAAUGUGGUAUAUAACUCAACUAGAAAUAGCUAGCACCUAUUUUUUUCCUUCAACAGUGUUUUCACUGUUCGAUGCAAGCAUGCCUUAGCUUUGCUUAACAAAUUGCAUUGUGUGACUUUCAGAUGAAAUAUUUUAUCUGGUAAAUAACAGCAAAUUUUAAUCUACUAACAAGGUUUGUGAGAUUGUGCUAUUCAAAAUAAUCUACAGUCUCUAAGAAUUUUUAAAUCCUCAUAUCUAGGUUCCCUUAAGUCCAGUAGAAUGUAGUGGUCUUUUAUCUCACACUACCAUUUGUUUUCCUGCGUAAGAGUUAGGUUAGUAGUUGGAUGUUAGUGUUGUCUGAUUUAAACAUAAGGCUUCAGAUCAUGCCCUGUUGUUCUAGGUCAGAAGUUCCCAGACUCUUUUUGCUGUGCUCCCCUUCAGAAAUUCAUGUACCCCAUCUUGUCCCUAAGCCCCCUGUUCAUCUCCCCUAAGCCCUAUUGCUCUCAUUCUGGUAGCCCAUUGGCCCCUCUUGCAUCUUCAGCCGGCCCCUUACUUCCUAAGACCAGACCACAAUCCCUACCAAUGCUACCCCUUCUGUCCCAGAACAUGGGAACAAGGCAGUUUGUCAGGCUGGAUCUCAGAUUUCUUCCAUAGCAAAAAGAGAUCACUGCUGCUCAACUAUUAAGUCAACCUCCGAAUUAGUUUCCCUUUUAAUAAAAAAAUCUACUUUUGCACAAGGUUAGAAUAUCUUUUACAAUCUGAAAUACAGAGUACAAAUAUUUUUUUUGGUAAAAGCAUAAUGUGUUCAGGGGAAAAAACAGCUGUGUCCCACCAUCUUCCUACUCAAACCACUCAAUUUUUAACAGACUUAAAAAUCCUGGAAUUCAUAAUUUAACCAGAUAGAUACACUCCUAGCUCUGUUUCAUAUUAGGUUGAAAAGUAGCUUAAUGCAAAAUGUACUUGCUUUCUGAAUCUCCUGCUUUCAUAAGCAGGAGGAUGUGGGCCAGUAAAUGAGCUGCAUGUCAAACUAUUUAUCAGUACGUUCUGUGCACUGACCCAGUAUACAGAAUAUAUACCGAGAACAGAAGUUAGCCUGAGCUGUGUGUAACUUUAAAAUAGGGAUGUAAAAAUGGUUAGAUGCUAACCAAGUAACCAAUCACAAUUCCAUCAGUUAAAUGGGCCCUGUGGGCUGCUUGCCAUAUGGGAGCUUAACCGUUAACUGGAACAGAUGAGCAUUAGCUUAUCGGUUAACUGGUUAAACUCUUACAUUCCUAACUUAAAACAGAAAUACCACAUAACAGCCAAUCUUCUGCUUCAAUUUUCCUUAAUGCUGCCUGUGAUGUGCAUUCCUAGAAAACUGAUCCCGCUACCCCAUCUGUUCCCAAAUAUCCUUGACUUAAUUUAAAGUAGUGCAAAAUAAUAAAUAUGCACACACAUUAGACGUGCCAACAUUGUUUUUCUUUUGAGUCUUCUUUUUUGAAAUUCUUCUCAAUUAGAAUAAGUGCAGUACAGUAUGCAGUGCAUGGCUUGUAGAAACCAGCAUUAAACCAUCAAAGAAAAGCUGCUUUGCACUCCACAUUGGUGGAAAGGAUGUCACCCACAUGCUUAAGAUUUUUAAUUUGCAUUUGGAAAACUGGAACCCUAAUGAAUCCAGUCUGUUUAUCUUGAGGAUAUUUAUAGAAUGACACAGUUUGCAAGGCCAGUCAUUAGUAUCUCCGAUUAACUGCAGCGUAAUAAUAAUUUCUAAUAGUCCCCUGCUCUAUAGACCUGUUUGAAUGCACAAAAAAUUGUCUCCUACCAGUGGACCUUGGGGUAAGGUUGCCACCUUUUAUUAAAAAAAAAUAGGUAAGCGAAGUAAAAAAUAAUGAAAAAUGGUAAUGUACACACUUAACCAACCACCUGAACAGAAGUAAGUUGCUCUUCCAGCAAUUGUAGAACAACAAAUUAGUAACUUUAAAGACAGUUUGUCAGCUGUCAUUUCCAUGGUGUUUUUGUGGUAAUUAGGGUCCAGACAACCCAAACAGAACAGAAGGUUGAAACUUGAAAAGAAAAGCAGUUACAGUAACCUGUUGUAUGCAGUGUUGUUGCGGUGUUAAAAUGUGUCGAUAACAUGUGUUAUGAAAGCAGGGCCCCACAUCUGCUAGGAGCAGUGAUUCCCUAGUACAGCUAGGAAAUAUGGGCAAAGACUCUGCUGGCAGUUGGGAAAUACUAGGUACUGCCAUGAGUGUCAGCUCCCCUGGAAUGAGGAAGACGCUUGAUGUUGAAAGUGUGGACAACUCAUUCUACCCUAGAAAGCAGUAGGAAAAGCCCAGAAGGGUGCAAAGCAACCAUUGAGGGAAGUCAAGGUAGGGAAAAGAUACCCCUUAAUUGUAUGGGUUUAGAGUGGUCAUUUAAAAUAUAAUGAAACAUGAGGGAGGUGGAAGAAGCUAAUAGGAAAUGCUCCAUUGCAUUUUUUGGCAAAAAAGUCUCACUGAACAGAUUUAUCCUAUUGCAUGGGGUGUAAAACAAUUCAGCUCCUCCUACCUGUUCAGUAGAGUGGUUCAGGGUAUUAAUAGACCACUCACUGUUAGUAAGGCUGACUAGAAGAAAAUAAAUUUGUCCUUUUAGAGAUGAAGGAAGUUUAAUAUUUCACUAUGCUUAUUUGAUUGAGCUUCUGCUUGAAUGCAAAUUAUCUUGUUACUACUUUUUAAAGAGAUGCUAUCCUCUGAAACUUUUGGCUAAUUGAAAGCAUCUUUCUUUUUGUCAUCACCUUUAACAGUUCUUUCCCGACCCCUUUGUUCUGUUUGAUUGUAGGGGUCUUUUCUUUUAGUUAGCUUCCCCCAUGUUAACUGGCUGCACAGGUUAAUAGUGAAAUUGAGAAAUACAUUAGAAUAUUCAAAUGCAUAAAGUAAACUGAAAACCUUCUAUUUUCCUUCAGUUAUAGUAAUAUUAUGUGGCACAUAACAGGGGGUACAGAAUUUUCAGACUAUCCCUUUUUAAAUAAGGUUGUCCCAAACUGCACUUGAAUUGCUGUAAUUACUACUGUUGUCAAAAUAAAUACUUCAGUUCAUUAAUGGUAAUGUGUAGCUUACAAUAAUUACUGGCUCUAGUUCAGUAAUUGACUGCUUCCUGAAUGUGUACUUGAUAACCUUAUAUACAGUGAAAUGUUCCUAAUAUUAGAGGUUUUUGUGCAGUGUCAUAUUAAAUGUCAAAUUGCCACAAGCUCCCAAGACAGCUGCCCUGGAAAAAGUGCUUCUAAAACAGUUUUCUAUUGUGGGAUUUGUGGGAGGGAGGGGAGAAUUUUACUCUCCUGUUUCUCCUCUAGGAUUUUAUUUCCCAGGAGAUCUUUGUUGGGUAAAUGGGGUUUUUGUUAAUCUCAUGGCUUUUUUUCCUUCACAUACUUGCACUGUAUUUAAACCAUCAAACAAAUAUUUUUACUGUUUGAAAUUGUAUCAAUCCUGGAUUUAAAGAAUGUGCUUGAAACACAUGAUUCUUUUCUAACCAGUGUGAGUUAACUUGUAUAAAAUAUGAAUCUGUUCCCAUAAACUCCAUAUCUAAGAAUUGCUCUGUACUACCCUCUGAAAAAUACCUUACUAUCAGAGGAUAGCAUCUCUUUAAAAAGUGGUAACAAGAUAGUUUACAUUCAGGGAGAGAAGCUCAAUCAGAUAAUCAUAUUGAAAUGGUAUUUUGAUUUGGAUAUGGCAGAUCAUGAAUUUCAUUAAGAAAUUGAGUAUUUUGAGUUCAGGUCUUGUUUGACUUCUAUCCCAGUCAGAUUUCCUACCUCCGCAGCCUUUUCUCCCUUUCCUGUCUCUUAUUUCAGCUUCAGUGAAUUGCUUUCCUUUCCUAGUGACUUUGGACACAAGUCUUUAAGGGGGAUAUCAUGGAGGAGGAAGGAAAAAGUUGAGAGAAAUACAGAAAAAUUGCAUUCGAAGGGAAUUCUUGGUGACACAUUGCAAAUUAUUUUCCUAAUGUAACUUGCUGAGGGAACAGUGUAAUGCAUAGAGUAUGUGUUUAUAAACUACUGCAGUGUUAAAAGAAGGGCUGUGGUACAGAAUUGAAAGAUUAUACAUUGACAAACAUCCUUUCCAGCAAAACAGAACCAUAUAUUUGUUCUUAUAAGUUUAUCUAGUCUCAGAUCCUAGAGACCCCAUUUUACCCUGAAAACAUCUCGGCACCUUUUAACUACAGAAUGUCUUUCUGGAAGUCUAGAUUCUUUUUCUUCUGUAGGAAGAGGUACAGCUGUAAAUUGAGUCACAUAUUUAUUUGGCUUCUGUUAGUCCUGUUUACUGUGCAUUUUCAUAAUGAAUUUCCUUGAGUUUUACUGUGUGAAGUCACAAAGAAUGGCAGUGAACAAUUUGGCAAAUCCUUUGACUUGUAAAGGCUUUAUAUUUUGCAUUUUAAAAUGUUGUUUUGCCACUGAAAUGGUAAAUGAUAGAACAAAUGGAGUAAGCUUGAGAGUGUAUAGAACAAAAAGAUAAAAAAAAAGCCAAACAAUAUUUUUAGAAAACUGUAUAGA